CCACAGCAUUGGCCACAAUGAGGUGAUCGGGAUGUGCCGGGUUGGGAACGCCGCUGACGGUCCGGGGCGGGAACACUGGAACGAGAUGCUGGCAAACCCGCGCAAACCCAUUGAGCAGUGGCACCAGCUGAUCGAGGAGAAGGUGAUGAACAGCUACAUGACAAAGAGUUUCCCCUCGGGUUCUGGAGCCACCAAACCAGUCAGCAUUGUGGUGGAGAGCCCUCAUUCAGACUGAUGUUACAGCUUCACAUCCGUACCAUGGACUCAAGAAGCCAGCAGUGCAAUAUUUUCUUUUUCUUCAAUUUGUAAAUCCUUCACCACGAGAGAGAAAGAGGGAGAAGGAAAGAGAGAGAAUUGGAGCGACUGGGAGAUGAGGAAGAGACUCUCCCACCCACCGUUCUGAGGGACCCCCGCCCACUGAGGGACCCCCGCCAUCGACCAGAGAGAGAGCAAGACUCGGGGGGUUGUCCACGUUCCAUUACACCCGCCUCCCUGCAUCGGAGAGGGCCCUCGGCCUGCGAUGUGACCCCUCCCUCACUCCCCCCACCAACAUUUCUCCAUGGCCACUGGACCCGGGGCCCAAGAGGACAGUUCAGAGAGUCUCAUCGACAGAAAUUGUCAUUUUCCGAGCGAAAAAAAAAUGUCACUUCAAACACAUGUGUCACCAUGUUGUGGAUGUGUGUGCCUUGUCAUACAUGUGGGACAUUCCACCUCCAUCUAUGCCC